GACGAACGCUGGCGGCAUGCCUAACACAUGCAAGUCGAACGGAGAUAGCAAUAUCUUAGUGGCGGACGGGUGAGUAAUGGAUGAGUAAUCUGCCUCAUACACUGGGAUAACACAGAGAAAUUUGUGCUAAUACCGGAUGAGACCACACUACCGCAUGGUAGAGGGGUCAAAGGGCUUUACUGGUAUGAGAUGAGCUCAUCUCCCAUUAGCUAGUUGGUAAGAUAACAGCCUACCAAGGCGACGAUGGGUAGCCGGCCUGAGAGGGUGAACGGCCACAUUGGAACUUAGACACGGUCCAAACUCCUACGGGAGGCAGCAGUGGGGAAUAUUGGGCAAUGGGCGAAAGCCUGACCCAGCAAUGCCGCGUGAGUGAAGAAGGUCAUCGGAUUGUAAAGCUCUUUGAUUAGGGACGAAAAAAUGACUGUACCUAAAGAACAAGCCCCGGCUAACUACGUGCCAGCAGCCGCGGUAAUACGUAGGGGGCAAGCGUUGUCCGGAAUUAUUGGGCGUAAAGGGUGCGUAGGUGGUUUAGCAAGUUGGAAGUGAAAUACCCAGGGCUUAACUCGGGUGCUGCUUUCAAAACUACUAGACUUGAGUGUGGGAGAGAAUAGUGGAAUUCCUAGUGUAGCGGUGGAAUGCGUAGAUAUUAGGAGGAACACCAGUGGCGAAGGCGACUAUUUGGCCCAUAACUGACACUGAGGCACGAAAGCGUGGGGAGCAAACAGG
rnacentral:rRNA from 1 species